rnacentral:lncRNA from 1 species
GGAGCUGCAAGCAGAAUGCAAAGUGAAUUAAUAAAUUAACAAAAAAUAUAGGUGUGUUGUGGAUGGGCCUGCUGCUCUUUGUAAUUUGAUGCUAAUUCUGCUUUCCUAGGAGGGGUUGCAGACAAGGAAUGAGUCCCGUACUCAGGUGACUUCUUGUGAACCAAUCCCCUAAGGAAUAAAGAAGCCAAUCACUGGGUGAGUAGGCGGGACUUCUGGGUUGGAUGGAGGAAGAGAGGAAGCAGGAGAGAGUUAGGUCUUUUUUGGACGGGGAUAGCGUGAGGACAAGAUUUAAUUAUGAGUGGCUCCUGGUUUCAAUGGUGGAUCUGUCAGGAUUCGCCACAGGAGGAUUUAGAUUUAAUAAGACUUACAGAUUAGAAUUUUAGUUGAUGCACUCAGUGAUUGAGUUUAUGUUGUUUCUGAACUAAGCUUGUGUUGUGUUUUCCUUCACACAGCAGCUUGUCGGGGUUCAAGAGAGAAAGAUACGGUUGGCAAAGCAUGGAUUUGCCUGAGGUGCACCACAAAGGUCACGGGGGAUUUGAAGCAUGGGGCUGGUGUGGUAGAGACCAGCCAGUGGGAACUUAGCGAGCUGGGUGGAGAUGUUUGGGGAGCUCCGGGCCAGAGAGUCCCCACAAGAUAGUAACAGGCCGGCCAGAUCACCAGAGCUAAGAGUAGCAGGGCACAAGCACUGGAAUGUGCAGGCUUUUUAAAAAAACAAUAUUUCCUGCAACAUAGGUGCUUCUCAGUCCAUUCAAGUUGACAAUCAAGGUAACUAAUUAAUAAAAGAAAUUAUUUGAAACCACAUAUACCACCUUGAAUGUAAAAUGCUUGGAAGCAUAAUAUAUACUUUUUAGGCAUCACUGAGUUAGCAGUUUCAUGUUGAGUAGUGUAAUGGCUUGAAUGAGAAUGGCUUCCAUCAGCUCAUAGAGUUGAAUAAUUGGUUAUUGGGGAGUGACAUGAUUUGAGAGGGUUAGAAAGUGUGGCCUUGUUGGAGGAAGUGUGUCACUAGGGAUGGGCUUUGAGGGCCCAAGCCAGGCCCAGAGAUUCUCUCUCUUUCUGAUGCCUGAAAAUCUGGAUAUAGAACUCUCAGCUACUUUUCCAUCAACAUGUUUGCCUGUGUGUGACCAUACUUCCUGCCAUGAUGAAAAUUGACUAAAUUUCUAAAACUGCAAGUAGGUCCAAAUUGAAUAAUUUCUUUUCUUUUCCUUUUUUCUUGGUUUUUGUUUUGUUUUGUUUUAGGUGCACAAUGAAAAAUUUUAUUCAUGACAGGUUUCAAAACAUGGAAAAGAAGACAUAAAUGCACAAAGGCAUCUCACAAAACUGUCACAUAAUAUAAAAACACCAGAACUGAGCUGUUAAAACCAUGGCUCAGGAUUCAUCCAUGUAUCUCAGCAACACAUUCAGUGCCUUAAGGUGAUCCAACUCCUUUUCCG